GCACAUAGACGAACGACUGCUGCGUUUUCAGUUUCUUGUGUUUACUCUCCAAUUGAUUCCGGGCGUUUUAAGCCACCAUUUGAUGCACCGUUUGUUGCUACUUAAGCUUCACUCUCUCGUCUUCAUUUCCCCCCAAACGGCAUACCUAGAGAGCCCCCAGGCUGCUCGAAUUUCGUCUCGCAUGUCCGCAGUACCGUCGCGGUAAAUCGUCGAUUGCGCGACGGCACCAUCUUCGUCGGUGAGUACGACCGCGGAAGGAUUUUCUGGGCAAGCGACUUCGGGAGAAGCAAGUACCUAGACGUUCUCUACGUCUUCUACGACAGCAUCGACUUCGGAAGCCUCUUCGUCAACUUUCUCAUCAACCUCCGUACCUGCGCCGUCGUUUUCAAAAUCAUCCACCAUUUGUGCGGAUUGUGGUUGUGCUGAUUGCAACGAGUGUUUGUGCGAAGAGUGUAC